ensembl:lncRNA
UUUUCUCUGAAGCUGGAAGCUAGACCCAGUGUCUGGUGCAUUGAAGCGCCUUCCAGACACAGGAAGCUAAGAAGCAGCAUCAAGGAACUGAGCGUACUUUACUGUAAGACCACACAGUCCACCUGGACCACACUCCUGGAACCACAACGAGGAACUAAUCAAGAUGAAUGGCAGUGGCUGCUGCAGGCUUACACUUCAUGCUAAAAAUUCUAAAAGUUAAAAGCGUCUCCUAAUGGAUUAUGUGAACAUCCAGGCUUUACUUUGCUCGUGAGUCCAUUUGGGAAAGGUAAAAUCAGGAACAGUAACUUUGGGACAGCCUGUGUUGGUGAUGGUUUCAGCUUUGACCAAAAGCUACCUGGACUCUAAUCAGCUGCAAAGUGAGAGAGCUGCAGCCAUGUAGAUCCUGCCAGAGCCCUGUGCACUUCAGCCACUUUAUGGCAAUUGGGUUACUGGAAAGUCAAUUUUUUUGCAGUGAGUAAAUUCAUCUCAUCGUGCAGAGGAAACUCAGGGGAGGUCUUUUGUCACAUGGUUAUCCUCUGAUUUAUCAUCCAGGGGUGAUGCUGUCCUAUGCUGGGUUUGUGUACCUUGCUCGAGGUCAAAGCUGUGGCACUGUAGACCUGGGUUCAUUCCUGAAGCAAUCAAAUUCUUGCUUUCACCCCAGAAGACAUGGUCACCACUGGAUUCUGAGUUGAUGCAAGGCCAUACAAACCCUUGGGACCAGAGGAUCCAAAGCUGAACAUACCAGAAGUUGUGUUCUCUGAGAGACUCUUUACUCAGAAGGCCAGAAGAGGCUGUUAACAUCAUGCACAGAGGCAAAGAAGACAGAAAUGGGGGCCAGGAGAGACAGCCUAAGCAAAAGCAAGGAAGGCUAGCCCUCUACCAAACCUAGAAACAGUCCGUGUGGGACAUGACUGCUGUGCACACACGGAGACAAGGCCAUGUAUGAAGGUCAUCUCUUCCAGGUGUUCUCCAGUUCUUACUUCUGUCUCUCGCAGCAAGAACCCAUCUUCUCCACGAAGUCUGUGUGAGUUCCAUAAAGCCAGAGGUGUGCUCCUUUCCCAGUGUGAGCAGCUCCUGGCAUGUGACUUGGUCAAGAGGAAACUACUGAGUGGAAGCGUAAAUAUAGUAAGCUCUACCAAAGGAUGGUAACCGCUUAAUUCUUCACCAGAGGAAAGCCAGGACGGAAAUGGACUCCAGCUGCACCAUGGGAAACUUCAGUCAGACUCAAAGAAUUCCCUUAGUGAGAGUGAUAGAUACCAGACCAGGUCCCGUGGGACAUCGUGGAAUUUCCUUGAUGGGCCCUUAGGAAGGAGUGUGCUUUUACUGUUUGAGGUGAUUCUGAGUUUUGUUGAAGAGGCUUCAAUUUUAGCAUGAGUCACCGGCAACCCGGAUGACAGUAAAGGGGCUUUUGACUCUUGGUCAUUGGGUUACCCAGAUGGUUUGUUGUACUAAGCACUAGUUGAGAGCACCAGCAGCUGGGGAGGCUGCGUGCCUGAGUGGAGGGCAGAAAAGUCUUUACUCUGAGCCUAUGAGCAAAUGAAGCAUUUUGUCAAGGGUCACUUACCCUAUACUGAAAUUAAUAAAUGCAAAAGGGAAAUCAGGCCAUAGUGCCAGAACAGGUAUUUGAACUUUAGCUUGGGCACAGGACAUGGUAAGAUGUGGGUUGAUGUCUUCAGAAAGAACGCCAUGAAUUCAAAUCUUUACUGGAUUGCUGGAUGGGCUCAUGAAAGCAUAUUAUAGCCAGCUGGGCCUCACUAGCAGAGGCUGUGUGGCCAGGCUCCUGGGGUCAAUUAUAUAAAAGACUGGAUAGCUAUGUAGUGUGACAGCCAACUGCUGUGAGAUAUGCUUUUGAUCAUUUCAAUGGAAAACCAUCCUGUUCUGGUCCCCAAAUGUCUGAUGCUGGCUGAGUAUCCCAGGGCUAUACUCUGGUACCUUGGUAUACGCUUCCCUUCCCCUAGGACAGCUCUCCCAGGCCAGAGUCAGUUGACAAGGACUAGUUCAGCACAGUUAAUUAGUCACAGCUUAACUUAGAGCUAUUAAAAGCAGUGAGAGAUGUGUGGCAUCUGAGUGAAGUCCGAGAAAGAUCUGAGGAAAGAAGAAAGAGAUGGCAUAAUUCUCAAGAGCUGACACUGGUUUAGAGCCUGAGAAAGUAUUU